GUUCGAAGUUGAUACCCCGUCCAGACUCGCGUCCGUCGCGGGCGCCCGGCCUCUCGGUUGGGACCGUCCGUGUACGCGCUCGCGGCUGCGACUCACAAUGGUGUACCUGGGCGUUCUACUCCGUGACGGGUCAGGACUUGUCGCCGCGACCUCGUCGGUCAAGGUCUUGUUCGACCCAGCUUCAUGGUGCCCGGGAACUCUCGUUUACCUUGAACAAAUUAGAGUGCUCAAAGCAGGCUAGUUCAAAGCGUCCGGUCCUCCGGGGCCGGCGUUGGCCGAGAAUAAUUUUGCAUGGAAUAAUGGAACAUGACCUCGGUCUGAGUGGUUUCGUUGGUUUGUAAUAGACCAAGAGGUAAUGAUUAACAGAAGUAGUCGGGGGCAUUGGUAUUACGGCGCGAGAGGUGAAAUUCGUAGACCGUCGUAGGACCCACAGAAGCGAAAGCGUUUGCCAAGGAUGCUUUCAUUAAUCAAGAAC
rnacentral:rRNA from 1 species